GAUGGUUCUCAAGUGAUGCACCCUGGAAUCGGGCUCCCUCCUCUCUAGUUCCAGGGUGCAUCCUCCGAGAACUGCU
rfam:Myotis lucifugus cont2.50890, whole genome shotgun sequence.